rnacentral:rRNA from 1 species
CAAGUCGAACGGUGAAGCACAGGAGAGCUUGCUCUCGGGUUGACGAGUAGGCGGACGGGUGAGUAAUGUCUUGGGAAACUGCCUGAUGGAGGGGGAUAACUACUGGAAACGGUAGCUAAUACCGCAUUAACGUCGCAAGACCAAAGAGGGGGACCUUCGGGCCUCUUGCCAUCAGAUGUGCCCAGAUGGGAUUAGCUAGUAGGUGGGGUAACGGCUCACCUAGGCGACGAUCCCUAGCUGGUCUGAGAGGAUGACCAGCCACACUGGACACUGAGACACGGUCCAGACUCCUACGGGAGUGCAGUCAGUGACGACCGCCNACGUUCGUUCUGAGCCGAGAGCC